rnacentral:rRNA from 1 species
UGGGGAAUAUUGCACAAUGGGCGAAAGCCUGAUGCAGCAACGCCGCGUGAAGGAUGAAGGCCUUUGGGUCGUAAACUUCUGUCCUUGGGGAAGAAAAAAAUGACGGUACCCCUGGAGGAAGUCCCGGCUAACUACGUGCCAGCAGCCGCGGUAAUACGUAGGGGGCGAGCGUUAUCCGGAAUUAUUGGGCGUAAAGAGUACGUAGGUGGUUUUUUAAGCGCAGGGUUUAAGGCGAUGGCUCAACUGUCGUUCGCCCUGUGAACUGGAAGACUUGAGUACAGGAGAGGAAAGCGGAAUUCCUAGUGUAGCGGUGAAAUGCAUAGAUAUUAGGAGGAACACCAGUGGCGAAGGCGGCUUUCUGGACUGUAACUGACACUGAGGUACGAAAGCGUGGGGAGCA